AAAAAUAUUUUUCACAAGAGUAAGGGAGCAUAAUUAUGGGUAAACUUUCACAGGAUGGUAACUAUGAAGUACGAAAUUUUGAUAUGAAGUUGCAUGUCCAUGUCCAUGGCUGUAUCUCGCCGUUCCUCCGCUUCCGCUGCUUGCUGCUGCUAUUGCACCUCCUUCACCUCCUCCUCGACGGGCGUAAUUGGCAUUUGAGUUACUGUACGGAUCGUAUUGGGGUAUCCUCGAGUACACUAUUCGCCCAUUUGAGAAUAUUUCCUGACCAACUUUAAAUCAAUUUUUGUGGCUCGAAAAAUAUAAUUUCGACGUUUACGAAGAAUUAAUCAAUUUGAAGAACUGCA